rnacentral:rRNA from 1 species
GCUGAACGCUUUCUUCUUUCCUAAUACAUGCAAGUCGAGCGAACAGACGAGGAGCUUGCUCCUCUGACGUUAGCGGCGGACGGGUGAGUAACACGUGGAUAACCUACCUAUAAGACUGGGAUAACUUCGGGAAACCGGAGCUAAUACCGGAUAAUAUAUUGAACCGCAUGGUUCAAUAGUGAAAGACGGUUUUGCUGUCACUUAUAGAUGGAUCCGCGCCGCAUUAGCUAGUUGGUAAGGUAACGGCUUACCAAGGCAACGAUGCGUAGCCGACCUGAGAGGGUGAUCGGCCACACUGGAACUGAGACACGGUCCAGACUCCUACGGGAGGCAGCAGUAGGGAAUCUUCCGCAAUGGGCGAAAGCUUGACGGAGCAACGCCGCGUGAGUGAUGAAGGUCUUCGGAUCGUAAAACUCUGUUAUUAGGGAAGAACAAAUGUGUAAGUAACUAUGCACGUCUUGACGGUACCUAAUCAGAAAGCCACGGCUAACUACGUG